GACGAACCGUGCGAACGUUGUUCGGAAUCACUGGGCUUAAAGGGCGCGUAGGCGGGCCAGCCAGUCCGGGGUGAAAUCUUUCGGCUCAACCGGAAAAUUGCCUGGGAUACGGCUGGUCUGGAGGGUGGUAGGGGCAGGUGGAACUUCCGGUGGAGCGGUGAAAUGCGUUGAUAUCGGAAGGAACGCCGGUGGCGAAAGCGACCUGCUGGACCACUGCUGACGCUGAGGCGCGAAAGCCAGGGGAGCAAACGGG
rnacentral:rRNA from 1 species